UACGGAGGAGGCAAGCGUUAUCCGGAAUUAUUGGGCGUAAAGCGUCCGCAGGUGGCACUUCAAGUCUGUCGUCAAAGACUGGGGCUUAACCCUGGAAAGGCGGUGGAAACUGACGAGCUAGAGUGCAGUAGGGGUAGAGGGAAUUCCCGGUGUAGCGGUGAAAUGCGUAGAGCUCGGGAAGAACAUCGGUGGCGAAAGCGCUCUACUGGACUGCAACUGACACUCAGGGACGAAAGCUAGGGGAGCGAAUGGG
rnacentral:rRNA from 1 species